UACAGAGGUCUCGAGCGUUAGGCGGAAUCACUGGGCUUAAAGCGUGUGUAGGCGGAUUGCUAAGUACCUUGUGAAAUCCCACGGCUUAACUCGGAAAGGUCAACUGAUACUGUGCGACUAGAGUGCGGAAGGGGCAACUGGAAUUCUCGGUGUAGCGGUGAAAUGCGUAGAUAUCGAGAGGAACACCUGCGGCGAAGGCGGGUUGCUGGGCCGACACUGACGCUGAUGCGCGAAAGCCAGGGGAGCGAACGGG
rnacentral:rRNA from 1 species